CCCGUUCUUGUCUGGGGAGCAGAUGAUGUUCAAUGAACGUUUAGUGAGAGCAUUUCUGCUGAAACCCUAUUAAAAAUCACCCCCGCCCGUGUCUUUAGCAUGCGAGCGGAAUUUUUGAACGG